UUACGCGAGAAUGGUCUUGAACGAUGCGUUCGUUUUGUCCUUCGCAUUGAAUGUGAUAAUUUCGAAAAUGUCCCGAAGUCACGAUAUAAUAUUGCGAGUUGGGCGGACCAUGGUAUGCGUACCGACACGUUAAACGUUUACCGGCUUUCGAAACGCCGAGACGAUUCGAUUUGAAAACCGGCGUAUAGUCUUAUAAAUGGUACGACAGACACUGACAAACGGGUCAACGGGGGGGGGACCGGUACACACG